AAAGGCAUGAGGCUGUGCGCAGAAACAUUUCAUGCAGCAUGUUGGUUGGAGCAAAAGAGAAAAACAAAAGAAAGAGGAAAAAAACAAAACAAAAAACAACAGUCCAAAAUUCGUAAACCAAUAAAGGGUUUGCCAUCGCCUGAAAGGUUUUUUGUUUUGUUUUUGUUUUUUCCUUAAUCGCCAAACCACAAGGUGAGGCUUUGUAACACCAACCAACUAAGAACUCCAACUCGGCUCGUCCUGGUCUUCCUGUCGUACUCGCGAUUUUAAUAGCUCCUUCUUAGUGCCUGUUUUGGGGUGUGGAGUGCCGUCCUGUGCGCCCAACGCAGCCGCUUGGAUGCCAUCUGAACCGAAGGUCUCUUCGCCUUGAGGGCCUUGCCCAUAUUUUUUUUUUCCUGAAUAAGAAAAGGCAAAACAAUAGAUGCCCAGAAAUACUGCUGUAAUUCACCAGAACAAACAUCCGUCAGAAUCGGGGCCAGCCUUCUCGCCAGCAGCAGACAUAAACUAUCUAAAUAAUGAAAUGCAUUAGGUAUUUGAAGGCGAACUCAGAGAAAAAGGCAGCAUCUUUUCAAGGUGACUGAGCUUUCCAUGCUUUGGGCAAGCGGGAUGAAUUCAAAGGCUCGGGCGCAGAUUAAUGAGAACAGCACUUUAAAAAGGACUGGCCGAUCAUCUUUAACAAAAUGUGUUACUUUUAAAUGAAA
ensembl:antisense Dlx1as distal-less homeobox 1, antisense